ACUCGCCACAGUCCACGCUGUCUUCCAUUUUUCUUUCCAGUUUUCUGAUUCUUCUUUGAACUGAAACCUGGAAAAAGCAACCUUGUCUGUCUGAGAGCAUUACUGUUAAAUCAUAUCCUCUCAGUAUCCAACACGCGUAUUCAGCUAUAUACUUGACAUCUCGUUGCUCUGAAGAAGCACAAAAAUGCAGCUCUCUAGAGGAUUAAGGGGUCAUAUCUGAGUUGGGGGUGUUGUGGUUGUUAAAACUAAGAGUCUUUAUUUUAUAAUUGUCUGGAUUCAAGGAAUGGUGAUGGACACUAAGAUUUCAGAUGGUGGUAGUCGGUCAAGGAAACGAAAAGCUGGCGAUGAUAGGGAUAUGGUGAAGGAAAACAUGUCAUUGCCGCGACGGAGAAAGGAAAUGCCAUGCUUUCGGAAAGUUGAUUUGAGCGAGAGUGAUUUCCAAAGGAUUGUUGGCAAGAAAAUUAAGGUUUAUUGGGUUGGAUCAAGAAGGUGGUUUACUGGGCGUAUUGAAUCAUUUGAUAGUAAAAAGAAACUACACAGGAUUUUGUAUAACGAUGGGGAUGUGGAUAAUCUGUAUCUACUGGAUGAACGUUUUGAACUUGAAGUUGUUACGAGUGAGGGUUUCACUUUAUGUUCAAGUUUGACGACAAAUUCUGUUAACAGAGAGCUGGGUUCGAUUGAUAAGAAGACUAGCGUGGGAGACUCACCUGCAGAAAGAGUCAAUAAACCAGUUGAAAAGAAAGGUACGGAGGAGGUGCCAUGUUUUCAGAAAGUUGAUUUGAGCAGGGAUGAUUUUAAAAGGAUUGUUGGGAAGAGAAUUAAGGUUUAUUGGGAUGGGUCAAGAAGGUGGUUUACUGGGCAUAUUGAAUCAUUUGAUAGUAAAAAGAAACUACACAGGAUUUCGUAUUACGAUGGGGAUGUGGGGGAAUUGUGUCUACCGGAUGAGCGUUUUGAACUUGAAGUUGUUACGAGUGAGGGUUUCACUCUGUGUUCAAGUUUGACGACAGAUUCUAUUAACAGAGAGCUGGGUUCAGCUGGUAAGAAGACUAAAGUGGGAGACUCACUUGCAGACAGUGUCAAUAAUAAAUCAGUUGAAAAGAAAGUUAUGAAGGAGUUGGCAUGUUUUCGGAAAGUUGAUUUGAGUGAAAGUGAUUUUAAAAGGAUAAUUGGGAAGAGAAUUAAGGUUUAUUGGGACGGAUCAAGAAAGUGGUUUACUGGGCGUAUUGAAUCAUUUGAUAGUAGAAAGAAACUGCACAGGAUUUUGUAUAACGAUGGGGAUGUAGAGAAAUUGAAUCUACUGGAUGAACGUUUUGAACUUGAAGUUGUUACGAGUGAGGGUUUCACUCUGUGUUCAAGUUUGACGACAAAUUCUGUUAACAGAGAGCUGGGUUUUGUUGGUAAGAAGACUAGCGUGGGAGACUCACGUGCAGACAGUGUCAAUAAACCUGUUGAAAAGAAAGCUACGAAGGAGGUGGCAUGCUUUCAGAAAGUUGAUUUGAGUGAGAGUGAUUUUAAAAGGAUUAUUGGGAAGAGAAUUAAGGUUUAUUGGGAUGGAUUAAGAAAGUGGUUUACCGGGCGUAUUGAAUCAUUUGACGAUAAAAAGAAACUACACAGGAUUUUGUACAGCGAUGGGGAUGUGGAGGAAUUGUAUCUACCGGAUGAGCGUUUUGAACUUGAAGUUCUUACGAGUGAGGGUUUUACUUUAUGUUCAAGAUUGAGGACAAAUUCUAUACACAAAAAACAUCUGGGUUCGGCUGGUAAGAAGACUAAAGUUGGAGACUCACUUGCAGGCAGUGUCAAUAGAUCAGUUGAAAAGAAAGAUACGAAGGUGUCAGAGAAGCCAUACAUGGCACUACCAGAGAUAACCCGUCGGAGAAAGGAGUUGCCAUCCUUUCGGAAAGUUGAGUUGAACGAGAGUGAUUUUGACAGGAUUGUUGGGAAGCGAAUAAAGGUUUAUUGGGGAGGAUCAAGAAGGUGGUUUGCUGGGCGUCUUGAAUCAUUUGAUAAUGAGAAGAAACUGCACAGGAUUCUCUAUGAUGACGGUGAUGUGGAUGAAUUGAAUCUACUGACCGAGCGUAUUGAACUUGAAGUUGUUAAGAGUGAGGGUUUCACUCUAUGUUCAAGUUUGAGGAAAAAUUCUACUAACAAAGAACCGGGUUUGGUUGGUAAGAAGACUAACGUGGGAGACUCAUUUGCUGACAGUGUUAAUAAAUCAGUUGAAAAGAUAGUUACGAAGGUGUCAGAGAAGCCAUACAUGACAUUACCAGAGAUAACACGUCGGAGAAAGGAGGUGCCAUCCUUUCGGAAAGUUGAGUUGGACGAGAGUGAUUUUGACAGAAUUGUUGGGAAGCGAAUUAAGGUUUAUUGGGGAGGAUCAAGAAGGUGGUUUACUGGACGUAUCGACUCAUUUGAUAAUGAGAAGAAACUGCACUGGAUCUUCUAUGAUGACGGUGAUGUAGAUGAAUUGAAUCUACUGAUCGAGCGUAUUGAACUUGAAGUUGUUACAAGUGAGGGUUUCACUCCAUGUUCUAGUUUGAAGAAGAAAUCUACGGAGAGGAGCUAGGAUCAGUUGGUGAAAAGCCUAAUGCGGGAGAUUCACUUGAAGGCAGUAUUGGAGGAGCUGGAAAUACAACUAGUAAGUAAAGGACUGAUAAGGUAUGGGGACCUGUUUUGCGUUAUAUUACAUAUAUGUGUCUUGCUGCUUUCUUAAUACUUAGCUUAGUUAUGGCAAUUGACCUUUAACCAGUUAGUAUAUAUGUUAGUAACUACUAAAACAAGCAGCAAGACUUUAACUAUACGUUUGCUUUUGAUCAGAAGAGGAGUUGCACAUUGACAUUGUGCUAUGUUUAUUUUGUGUUCAUUAAUGUGAAGUCAUCAACUCUCUCUCUUUAUAUAUUUAUUUUUCGUAUUGCAAGUUGAGAAAGGUCCAACUAGUUCUAUUCUGAUAACCUUACAACUAAUUUCCACUCAAAUAGUUGUUACCAUACUUGGCAUAUUUAAUAUUUUCUCAUGUAGUGGUUUAUUUCCUUAUGGAUUUCCCCAUGUGAUGGCUAUGUGUAGCAGUGAUUUCCAAACAAACUCCGCAUCUUGAUUCAGUAGCUUAUCCCUUUUUUCGUUUCCUUUUUGCUGUAAUACAUGAUUUUUGCUGAGUUGUUCCAUUGAGGCUUGCAAAAUUUGGGUAUAAGUACAUGAUGAGUUACCACCUUUUUGCUGAAUCUCAUGUAUUCUGCAUUUUUACUGAACAGCCACCUUUUUCCAGUGAUGAGUUAUGUUUCUAAGUGAUAAUUUUGGUGGUUGCUUUAGGCCAAAUGACUUAUCUAGAAUGGGAAGUCCUAACUGCAUUUAUUUGUCUAGCAUUGAGAGUCUUAUGUUUUUGGUAAGUGAAGCUUGGCAGUAAUUGUUUUUGGUGUUUGGUUCUGCUUUUUUGGUUGAGACUUGUGUCUUCUUUUCUGUCAAGUCUUCGGGCUUGGUUGUUUUCAUUUUGGGGACUUUUGUCCUUUUUAUGGUGGUUAUCAAGAAACUGAAUUUAUUAUGUUUACCAAAACAAAUAUUGGAGAAAACUGAUAUUCCGGUCAUUAAGAGCUUGAACGACGCUGCUGUGGGUUGUUUUGUCAUGUUGAGUGGUGAGAUCAUCCAGCCUGAAAAGUUACUUGUAGUAAUUGCUGAACUUAGAUUGUCUUUACUGGCUUAACACCACAAUGUUCUUUUAACUUACAUUCGAGUGUAUCUGGGAAAUUAGCAAACCAAUUUAGUUGUGGGUGUACCAAAUAUAAUAAGAUAAACUUUGGAUUGGUACUCCCAUUAGCAGCUAUGGAAAUUUCUGUCUCCUUUUUGAUGAACCCAUCAACCUUUUUUUGGUUCCUUAUGUUGGAAAUAAUUCAAGCAAACCUCAGGAUGGGCCUUAGUACGGGCCAGCCCUGCCUGUUUGAACUUCUAGACCCAGCUAGUUUAAUACGAUGUUCGAGAUAUUAUUCAAACAAAAUCCUUCGUUCUAUGAGACGCCGCGCCGGCAAAAAAUCCAUCCAAAUAUAUAAAUUGUUUCUGCUCCCCCCUUUUCUUUUUUUGUUUCUGAAACAAUUCUUCUCCUCUAGCACAUCCACGGUUUCGACACAUCCACUGUUUUAAGAUCUCUCAAAGGAGAAAAAAAUAUGCAGACUGCUGAUUUGUUAAGGUUGACUCCAAUGUUUCAUACUCCUAGUAUAACAAAAAAAACCCAAAUUUACUUCACCGGUUAUUUUCCCAAGAUACACAUGAUUACCAACAAACCCCUUCCCUUCCAUAUCUCAUCCUGCAGUAAUAAGGAUAAUGCAGAUGUAAAUUUGGUGUUGAUCAAGCAGGCACCUGCACCUGUACUGAACAAGGAUGUAACGAAAAACUCAAUAUUAACCGGUGACAAGUUGCAGUUGCAUUCUGCUAUUCAGGCAAUUUUCUUAGCUGCUAAACGGGUGUUUUCAUCUGCGAUCAAAUUGGUUUCGCCCGGUGAGACAAGUUCAUUUGUUUUAGAGAAUGAUUUAAUAUUGGUCGAGUACAAUGGGGAGGAGAUUGUGGGGGUUGUUCAGCAUGUGGUUCAUCAUUUGGAAAUGGGAUUAAUGGAAACUACUCUACUGUGUGAACUUGGUUUAAAGGAUUUUAAAAUCAAUUGCGAUAAUGUAUUCAAUCUAACCUUACUUAAUGAGGAGAAAGAGAAAAUGUGGCUAAUUUAUACCUCAGUGGAGUGCAAAGAAGAUGAUGUGAUGAAGAUGGUGGACGAGAUAAAAGAUAUUUAAAAUGCUCAUGAUGAUGUGAAACCCAAUCCUUAGAUGGUUGGGGUGGAUUUUAUGGAUCCCCAGAGAAAGAUUGACGUGAUCUGUCAUGUUGCAUGCUCCAAGCUGAAGGCUCCUCACUUCCAGAGUUACAUGGAAAUCAGGAAGAAACUAUUAUCGGAUAUUGAUAAAAUUCGAAGCAAACACGGAAGUAAGGAUGGAAGUAAGAAUCCAAAGCAAUCGGAGUAGAGCCAGAGUAUAAGAAUGUAUCAAUAGCUUUUUCUUUGAAAAGGAAAUAAAAUUUUCUUUUUUAGGAAAGGAAUGUAUCAAUAGCUGAUGAAUUAACUAGAAGUAUCCAUGUCUAAUGAAUUAACUAGAAGUUUUAAUAGGAGGUUAUCUUUACUUUUUGUUUUUUUACUUGAAAAUAGUUGUACCUUCUUAGGAGCUGCUGUAAUCCAUAGAAUGAAAUUUGAGUUCGUUUAUUUUA